UACAGGGGGGCAAGCGUUGUUCGGAAUUACGUGGGCGUAAAGGCUUGUAGGUGGCCGACUAAGUCCGACGUGAAAUCCCCAGGCUUAAACCUGGGAACUGCCGUCGGAUACUGGUUGGCUUGAAGUCCGGGAGAGGGAUGCGGAAUUCCAGGGUGUAGCGGUGAAUGCGUAGAUAUCUGGAGGAACACCGGUGGCGAAGGCGGCA
rnacentral:rRNA from 1 species